rnacentral:rRNA from 1 species
GAUGAACGCUGGCGGCGUGCCUAAUACAUGCAAGUCGAGCGAACAGAUAAGGAGCUUGCUCCUUUGACGUUAGCGGCGGUCGGGUGAGUAACACGUGGGUAACCUACCUAUAAGACUGGGAUAACUUCGGGAAACCGGAGCUAAUACCGGAUAACAUUUGGAACCGCAUGGUUCUAAAGUGAAAGAUGGUUUUGCUAUCACUUAUAGAUGGGCCCGCGCCGUAUUAGCUAGUUGGUAAGGUAACGGCUUACCAAGGCGACGAUACGUAGCCGACCUGAGAGGGUGAUCGGCCACACUGGAACUGAGACACGGUCCAGACUCCUACGGGAGGCAGCAGUAGGGAAUCUUCCGCAAUGGGCGAAAGCCUGACGGAGCAACGCCGCGUGAGUGAUGAAGGGUUUCGGCUCGUAAAACUCUGUUAUUAGGGAAGAACAAAUGUGUAAGUAACUGUGCACGUCUUGACGGUACCUAAUCAGAAAGCCACGGCUAACUACGUG